AGAGUUUGAUCCUGGCUCAGGAUGAACGCUAGCUACAGGCUUAACACAUGCAAGUCGAGGGGCAUCAGGAAGAAAGCUUGCUUUCUUUGCUGGCGACCGGCGCACGGGUGAGUAACACGUAUCCAACCUGCCCUUUACUCGGGGAUAGCCUUUCGAAAGAAAGAUUAAUACCCGAUGGCAUAAUGAUUCCGCAUGGUUUCAUUAUUAAAGGAUUCCGGUAAAGGAUGGGGAUGCGUUCCAUUAGGUUGUUGGUGAGGUAACGGCUCACCAAGCCUUCGAUGGAUAGGGGUUCUGAGAGGAAGGUCCCCCACAUUGGAACUGAGACACGGUCCAAACUCCUACGGGAGGCAGCAGUGAGGAAUAUUGGUCAAUGGGCGCUAGCCUGAACCAGCCAAGUAGCGUGAAGGAUGAAGGCUCUAUGGGUCGUAAACUUCUUUUAUAUAAGAAUAAAGUGCAGUAUGUAUACUGUUUUGUAUGUAUUAUAUGAAUAAGGAUCGGCUAACUCCGUGCCAGCAGCCGCGGUAAUACGGAGGAUCCGAGCGUUAUCCGGAUUUAUUGGGUUUAAAGGGAGCGUAGGUGGACUGGUAAGUCAGUUGUGAAAGUUUGCGGCUCAACCGUAAAAUUGCAGUUGAUACUGUCAGUCUUGAGUACAGUAGAGGUGGGCGGAAUUCGUGGUGUAGCGGUGAAAUGCUUAGAUAUCACGAAGAACUCCGAUUGCGAAGGCAGCUCACUGGACUGCAACUGACACUGAUGCUCGAAAGUGUGGGUAUCAAACAGGAUUAGAUACCCUGGUAGUCCACACAGUAAACGAUGAAUACUCGCUGUUUGCGAUAUACAGUAAGCGGCCAAGCGAAAGCAUUAAGUAUUCCACCUGGGGAGUACGCCGGCAACGGUGAAACUCAAAGGAAUUGACGGGGGCCCGCACAAGCGGAGGAACAUGUGGUUUAAUUCGAUGAUACGCGAGGAACCUUACCCGGGCUUAAAUUGCAGUGGAAUGAUGUGGAAACAUGUCAGUGAGCAAUCACCGCUGUGAAGGUGCUGCAUGGUUGUCGUCAGCUCGUGCCGUGAGGUGUCGGCUUAAGUGCCAUAACGAGCGCAACCCUUAUCUUUAGUUACUAACAGGUUAUGCUGAGGACUCUAGAGAGACUGCCGUCGUAAGAUGUGAGGAAGGUGGGGAUGACGUCAAAUCAGCACGGCCCUUACGUCCGGGGCUACACACGUGUUACAAUGGGGGGUACAGAAGGCAGCUAGCGGGUGACCGUAUGCUAAUCCCAAAAUCCUCUCUCAGUUCGGAUCGAAGUCUGCAACCCGACUUCGUGAAGCUGGAUUCGCUAGUAAUCGCGCAUCAGCCACGGCGCGGUGAAUACGUUCCCGGGCCUUGUACACACCGCCCGUCAAGCCAUGGGAGCCGGGGGUACCUGAAGUACGUAACCGCAAGGAUCGUCCUAGGGUAAAACUGGUGACUGGGGCUAAGUCGUAACAAGGUAGCCGUACCGGAAGGUGCGGCUGGAACACCU
rnacentral:rRNA from 1 species